GCAAAAUGGCGUAACUGUGAAAUAUUUACGCGAAAGGAGCCGCGAAGAAGAAAAGGAUAAAUAAAAAAAGAGGAAAUAGAAGCAGGAGAGAUUUCCCCUCUCUCUGUUUCAUCGUCCGUUGAACGAAGCUUCGCAAGGAAAUCGAAGGUAGAAGACAAAAACCAGAGCAGAGAAAGGGGAUUCGAAUCGGAAUUUUCGGGUGGAGAUCGGUCGUUUCCCUUUUUUUUGUCGAAGAAGAGAAAGAUGAGUGGUGGAUGGGAGAGGGUUAGGUCAACGAGAUCGAGAUUGAGCCGAGACGUGAGCUUGACCGGCCGUUCGUCCACGUCUCGGACGGUUCGACUCGGCCGGGUCCAGCCCCAGGCCCCUGGUCACCGCACCAUUCACUGCAAUGAUCGCGAGGCUAAUUUCCCCGUCAGAUUCAAGGGGAAUUCUAUAUCAACUACAAAGUACAAUUUCUUUACCUUUCUGCCUAAGGGAUUGUUUGAACAGUUCAGGCGGGUGGCCAAUUGCUACUUUCUCUUCAUAUCAAUUUUAUCAAUGACCCCAAUCAGUCCUGUCAAUCCUAUAACAAAUGUGGCCCCUCUGAGCCUGGUACUUUUAGUCUCUCUUAUUAAGGAGGCAUUUGAGGACUGGAAGCGCUUUCAGAAUGAUAUGGUGAUUAACAAUAGUCCAGUAGAGGUGUUGCAAGAUCAAAAAUGGGAGACUGUCCCCUGGAAGAAGUUACAAGUUGGAGACAUUAUUAGGGUUAAGCAGGAUGGAUUCUUUCCUGCAGAUCUGCUUUUGCUUGCUGGUACAAAUCCAGAUGGUGUCUGCUACGUUGAGACUGCAAAUUUGGAUGGAGAAACAAAUUUGAAGAUCAGAAAGGCAUUGGAAAGGACUUGGGACUACUUGACUCCUGAAAAAGCUGCUGAAUUCAAAGGUGAAGUGCAGUGUGAGCAACCAAACAAUUCGCUGUACACUUUCACUGGCAAUCUUAUAAUCCAAAAGCAAACAUUACCUCUCAGUCCUAACCAACUACUUUUAAGAGGAUGCAGUCUCAGGAACACAGAAUACAUUGUUGGAGCUGUUAUUUUUACAGGCCAAGAAACAAAGGUCAUGAUGAAUUCUAUGAAUGUUCCUUCCAAGAGGAGUACACUGGAGAGGAAACUUGACAAACUUAUUCUCACUCUUUUUGGAUCUCUUUUCUUUAUGUGCCUGAUUGGAGCCAUAGCCAGUGGUAUAUUCAUUAAUCGAAAGUACCACUACCUAGGACUUGAUGAAGGUGCGCCAACAGAGUUUAACCCUAACAACCGAUUUGGGGUUGCUGCUUUGACUUUGUUUACACUUAUCACCUUAUACUCAACAAUAAUUCCUAUCUCUUUAUAUGUUUCCAUUGAGAUGAUCAAAUUUAUUCAGUGCACCCAAUUUAUCAACAAGGACCUACAUAUGUAUCAUGCUGAAACCAACACUGCUGCAUUGGCCAGGACUUCCAAUUUGAACGAGGAACUUGGACAGGUGGAAUAUAUCUUUUCUGAUAAAACUGGAACAUUAACAAGAAAUUUAAUGGAGUUCUUUAAAUGUUCAAUUGGAGGAGAGGUUUAUGGGUGUGGUAUCACUGAAAUAGAGCGGGGAGGAGCACUCCGGAGUGGCAUAAAUGUUCAAGAAGUGCAUAAAUCAGUCAGUGCAGUACAUGAGAAGGGGUUUAAUUUUGAUGAUUCUAGGCUGAUGCGGGGAGCUUGGAGGAAUGAGCCUGAUCCUGACACAUGCAAGGAAUUUUUCAGAUGCCUUGCUAUUUGUCAUACAGUACUUCCUGAAGGUGAUGAAUCUCCAGAAAAAAUCACAUAUCAGGCUGCAUCCCCUGAUGAGGCUGCUUUGGUUACUGCUGCAAAGAAUUUUGGUUUUUUCUUUUACAGGCGAACACCUACAAUGAUAUAUGUUCGUGAGUCUCAUGUAGAGAAAAUGGGUAAAAUUCAGGAUGUGGCUUAUGAAAUUCUGAAUGUUCUUGAGUUCAACAGCACACGGAAACGUCAGUCUGUUGUUUGUCGAUAUCCUGAUGGCAGACUUGUGUUGUACUGCAAGGGUGCUGAUACUGUAAUUUACGAGAGAUUGGCUGAUGGAAAUGAUGAUUUAAAGAAAAUAACCAGAGGACACUUGGAACAAUUUGGAUCUGCUGGAUUACGUACCCUUUGCCUAGCCUAUAGAGAUUUAAGCCCUGAAAUUUAUGAAAGCUGGAAUGAGAAGUUUAUCCAAGCUAAAUCUUCUCUUAGAGAUCGUGAAAAGAAGUUGGAUGAGGUAGCAGAACUAAUAGAAAAGGAACUCAUUUUGAUUGGUAGCACUGCUAUAGAAGACAAGCUUCAAGAAGGAGUACCAGGUUGUAUUGAGACACUUUCUAGAGCUGGAAUCAAGAUUUGGGUGUUAACAGGGGACAAGAUGGAAACAGCAAUUAAUAUAGCUUAUGCUUGCAACUUAAUUAACAAUGAGAUGAAACAAUUUAUUAUCAGCUCAGAAACUGAUGCAAUCAGAGAAGUUGAAAACAGGGGUGACCAAGUGGAAAUUGCACGCUUUAUCAAGGAAGAAGUCAAAAAAGAACUGAAGACAUGCCUUGAGGAAGCCCAGCACUGUUUGAACACCGUAUAUGGACCAAAAUUAGCCCUUGUUAUAGAUGGAAAGUGUCUGAUGUAUGCCUUGGACCCAAGUUUACGAGUAAUGCUGCUGAAUUUGAGCUUAAAUUGUAGUUCAGUUGUCUGUUGCCGGGUUUCUCCCUUGCAGAAAGCACAGGUGACUAGUCUGGUCAAGAAAGGUGCACGUAAAAUAACGCUUAGCAUUGGUGAUGGUGCCAAUGAUGUUAGCAUGAUUCAAGCUGCUCAUAUUGGUGUUGGAAUAAGCGGGUUAGAAGGGAUGCAAGCAGUCAUGGCUAGUGAUUUUGCGAUUGCGCAGUUUCGCUAUCUUGCUGAUUUACUACUUGUGCAUGGGCGGUGGUCAUAUCUUAGAAUAUGCAAGGUCAUAACAUAUUUCUUUUACAAGAAUCUUACAUUUACUCUUACCCAAUUUUGGUUCACCUUUCAUACUGGCUUUUCGGGGCAAAGAUUCUAUGAUGAUUGGUUCCAGUCACUGUAUAAUGUCAUAUUUACAGCACUGCCAGUGAUCAUGGUUGGGCUUUUUGACAAGGAUGUCAGUGCGUCCCUUUCAAAGAAGUACCCUCAACUGUACAAAGAAGGAAUACGAAAUGUAUUUUUCAAGUGGAGAGUUGUGGGGACGUGGGCUUGUUUUUCUGUAUACCAGUCUCUAAUAUUCUAUUCCUUUGUGACCAUUUCAAGUGCUGGUGGUAAAAAUUCAUCAGGCAAGGUGUUUGGACUCUGGGAUGUCAGCACAAUGGCCUUCACUUGUGUUGUUAUCACAGUCAACUUGCGUCUUCUCAUGAUCUGUAAUUCAAUUACAAGAUGGCAUUAUAUUAGUGUUGGAGGAAGCAUCUUAGCAUGGUUUAUUUUCAUUUUUGUAUAUUCAAUUUUUCGGGAGAAUGUGUUUUUUGUUAUAUAUGUCUUAAUGAGUACAUUCUAUUUCUAUGUCACCAUACUUCUGGUUCCCAUUGUUGCUCUUCUUGGAGACUUCAUUUAUCAAGGGUAAGGUUCAGAAAAGCUAUCUUGUACUUCAUAGCAAUGUCUAAACUGACUGUUCUGGCUGCCUACAAACCACAGCCCCCCCAACAAACUUUGUGUGUGUGUUGAAGUCUAGCUUGCCUGUGAUGUAUAGUUGUUGAAGAUGAAAGUGGUCAAAUUAUAAGAGCUAACCGCUUUGGCAGAGAUGCAUCCAAUAAUUGCCUAAACACAAACUACAACCUAACGGUGGGCUGCAGAGGCAGCAUGCUGUUUAGCCUACCUGAGUUUAUGUGCUGGGUGUCUGAUUUUGGCAUGAAAGAUUAGCUGACGACUAAUAUCGCCAAUGUUGGGGGUGGUUUUAUCUAGCUUUUAUGCCAAAUAACCAUUUACUAGUAGAUGAUCUGCUUGAAAUUUUCGGGAACCUCUCUGCAUAAAAAUAUUUGAUGAAAUAGUUUGCUUUUAGAUUACUCCCUCCUCUUGCUUUCUCUUUCCUGAUUUUUCUGAUGCUUAACUUGUUGGACUUCUAUUAAUUGUAUGGUCGGGAUGCAGGGUUCAAAGAUGGUUCUUUCCCUAUGAUUAUCAAAUUGUUCAGGAAAUUCACAGGCAUGAACCUGAUGACAACAGUAGGGCAGGACUUCUAGAGAUAGAGAACCGGCUUACACCACAAGAGGAAAGGAGCUACGCCAUAGCUCAACUCCCACGAGAGUUGUCUAAGCACACUGGCUUUGCUUUUGAUUCACCUGGGUACGAGUCAUUUUUUGCUGCACAGCUAGGUAUAUAUGCCCCACAGAAGGCAUGGGAUGUUGCACGGAGAGCUAGCGUGAGGUCACGACCAACGACAUCCAAAAAGAAUUAAAUCGUACGAAUAUCACUGUAAAGUAUUAUUUUGGACCCCACAAUCAAUGGUCAGUCUUAGAAAAAAUUUGUAAAUUUAGAUGUGCCUAGUUUAGUUGUGAUAUAUUUUCCAUCCAAAUUUUGUUUCGCCUUCAAUGCUUGCAAGGAAGGAAUUUUACUUAGGUUUUCACGGAUGUACAGCUAAUUUAUUACUAAAUUGAGAAUUUUUGUGCUGAAUUGAAUUGAGUAUGCUUUCAACUAUUGCAUGUUUAUGGAAUAUUUUGGCAAUAAACAUAU
rnacentral:misc_RNA from 1 species